rnacentral:rRNA from 1 species
UACGUAGGGGGCAAGCGUUGUCCGGAAUCAUUGGGCGUAAAGAGCGUGUAGGCGGCCAGAAAAGUCCGCUGUGAAAACUCGAGGCUCAACUUCGAGCUGUCGGUGGAAACUUUCUGGCUAGAGUCCGGAAGAGGAGAAUGGAAUUCCUGGUGUAGCGGUGGAAUGCGCAGAUAUCAGGAGGAACACCGAUGGCGAAGGCAGCUCGCUGGGACGGUACUGACGCUGAGGCGCGAAAGCGUGGGGAGCGAACAGG